rnacentral:snRNA from 1 species
GUGCUCACUUCGGCAGCACAUAUACUAAAAUUGGAACGAUACAGAGAAGAUUAGCAUGGCCCCUGUGCAAGGAUGACAUGCAAAUUCAUGAAGCUUCCAUGUUUUAA